rnacentral:lncRNA from 1 species
GCGGAUUUUGAGAGUUCGUUAUAUAUUAAGAGUAGCAAAGCGCAAUCCACAUUCCUUAAUGGAGUACAUAACGACAAUGAGUUUCACUGGAAUAUCAAAUAUAAAACAUUAUAAAGUAAGGAGACAAAUUAUUCAAUCUAAAACCAAUAUAAAACAUUAUAAACUAAGGAGACAAAUAAUUCAAUCUAAAACCAAUAUGAAUAACCAGGUGGUCCAACCUCAUGUGAGCACUAUGAUAUCAAUAAUAUUUAUAAUCGUUGUCGUCAGCAUCUGAAUCAAUUGAGGUUCUAGUCUAUUAGUUGCAGCUUGAGUACACCCUCCACGCCAAGUACAGCGGUCUCGGCGAGGAAGGAUUUUGUUACCCCCUCCUAACCCCAAGCCUCGUGGUUCGCCCAACCUCGUUGCUCGGGUUUGGUCUCAAGCACCGUUAAGUCCCAACCAUUAACUGUGUUGUCGAUAUAAAAAAUCAUCACCAUCUCCACCUCCUCCUCCUCCAGAAUCUCUGUUUUGAUGUGUUUUAGAUCACUUAGAAUCCGAAUAGAACUCAAACAAAAAUGGACUAGGUCAAUAUGCCGCUCUACAUGCCAAGACCAAGCUUGGUAUGAUUUCAAGGGAUAAAGACUUGCAAUGGACAGAGGAAUGGUUAAAGAACCUAAUAGGUGAAAGUGGGCGAGGUUUGUUCCCCUCAAGGGGUUGAAUGUGGUUCAUAGCAGCUUACACAUGACUGUGUGGUUCAAGACCGAGACAACUCAGAUGCAUGCUUAACGAUCUAUGAUCAAGCUGAAACUUGGAUCAUCAAAUCGAAGGCUCUCUUAUGAGUCUGUGGCUCAAAUUUGGUCCAAUUUGGUAGCCAAUAAGGGGCUGUACCGAACUACACUUUUCUAAUGCAUAAGAAAUUAGUGGUAGAAAUGGGCUGGACGGCUCAGCCUAGCUAGUAGGAGUAGCAACAGGUCAUCUAUGUCCGGC